GACAGAGGGUGCAAGCGUUGUUCGGAAUUACUGGGCGUAAAGGGCGUGUAGGCGGUGGAGUGUGUCUGACGUGAAAUCCCUCGGCUUAACCGGGGAACUGCAUCGGAAACUACUCUGCUGGAGUGCGAGAGAGGAAGGCGGAAUUCCCAGUGUAGAGGUGAAAUUCGUAGAUACUGGGAGGAACACCGGAGGCGAAGGCGGCCUUCUGGCUCGUAACUGACGCUGAGACGCGAAAGCGUGGGUAGCAAACAGG
rnacentral:rRNA from 1 species